CACCCACUCUUUUAAGUUUUGGAAACACCCACUGCAUGCAGGUGAAGGCCUUGCAGCUACAGGAAGCUGUAGUUUAAUGAUUUUAAGAUGUAGGUAGUGCUUUUUAUACGCCGCCACAGUUGGCAGGUAACAACAGUAUUUUGGUCCAC